GCCCAAAUAUUAACCCCAGUCGGUGGAGCAUGAGACUCUUAAUCUCAGGGUUGUGGGUUCGAGCCCCACGUUGGGCA